AUUGAACGCUGGCGGCAUGCCUUACACAUGCAAGUCGAACGGUAACAGGUUAAGCUGACGAGUGGCGAACGGGUGAGUAAUGUAUCGGAACGUGCCCAGUCGUGGGGGAUAACUGCUCGAAAGAGCAGCUAAUACCGCAUACGACCUGAGGGUGAAAGCGGGGGAUCGCAAGACCUCGCGCGAUUGGAGCGGCCGAUAUCAGAUUAGGUAGUUGGUGAGGUAAAGGCUCACCAAGCCGACGAUCUGUAGCUGGUCUGAGAGGACGACCAGCCACACUGGGACUGAGACACGGCCCAGACUCCUACGGGAGGCAGCAGUGGGGAAUUUUGGACAAUGGGCGCAAGCCUGAUCCAGCCAUGCCGCGUGCGGGAAGAAGGCCUUCGGGUUGUAAACCGCUUUUGUCAGGGAAGAAAAGGUUCUGGCUAAUACCUGGGACUCAUGACGGUACCUGAAGAAUAAGCACCGGCUAACUACGUA
rnacentral:rRNA from 1 species